GUCACUGAAGUUCUAGGCAUGUUUAAUUGUCUCAAAUAAUAUCACUAGUAUUAGUAGCAUCUAGCCUAUCAAGCGUCUGUGUGUUUGUGACGAUUAAAUGUAUGUUCUGAAAAUGACGGCCUUGUUUAGUCUAUUCUUACACUAUUAUUAGCACAUACAGAGCCCUAAUCAACAAAUCCGUUCACCAUAAUUCCUUACAGCUCCAGUGUCGCACAAUGUUCUAGGACAGUGCGUCAAAUAAAAGACAUGUAUGCGCAGUUGAAAUGUCGAG